rnacentral:rRNA from 1 species
UACGGAGGGGGCUAGCGUUGUUCGGAAUUACUGGGCGUAAAGCGUACGUAGGCGGCUUUGUAAGUUAGAGGUGAAAGCCUGGUGCUCAACACCAGAACUGCCUUUAAGACUGCAUCGCUUGAAUCGCGGAGAGGUGAGUGGAAUUCCGAGUGUAGAGGUGAAAUUCGUAGAUAUUCGGAAGAACACCAGUGGCGAAGGCGGCUCACUGGACGCGUAUUGACGCUGAGGUACGAAAGCGUGGGGAGCAAACAGGG